GUCUGUGACCUGAUGAGUUGAUGUAGCAGUGGGACUAGUUUGCCUUUUGCUUGGAUGCAGGCACUGGCAGAGUGCUAGAUGGUUUCAUGCUAAGCUGAUGGAAUGGAAUGUGUCUGGAAGGUGGUGGGGACGUUUGAUAAUGGAUGAUGAGGAAGUUUUGCCAUGACAUCACGAAGUCUCACUAUUGAGGAUGCAGUGCCCAAAACUGGACAGGAAAUUCACUGUAAGACUUCAGCAAAAGGACAAAAGCAAUCAUCUUUCAAAGACACUACUGGUUUUCAAGUCUCAGUACAGUGCUUACAUUUCUCAUGAUACCAUGGUGAUGUGACAUACCCAUCACAAUCAAUACAGGUCCUGUAGACUCUUCAGGAGGUCUACAUCCUAUCUGUCCUCACCUUGCCAGGGCCAUGUCUGUUUUUAAUCCCAGCUUGUUGGGAUCACGCUUGUUUUUAGUCUUGUGCUGCAGUGAAUUUACAGUCUCGC
rnacentral:lncRNA from 1 species